rnacentral:tRNA from 2 species
GACUUGGUAGCUCAGUUGGUAGAGCAAAUGACUCUUAAUCAUUGGGUCGAGGGUUCGAGCCCCUCCCGGGUCACAA